CGCCAAUGAGUUCACUUUCUUUCUCUCCCCCGCGCUCCCCCUCUCCCCGCCCGCCGGCCCCUCCAGCCUCCUCCAAGGCGGCGGACCAGGCCGGGCCGGAGUUUUCGGGGUUCAGCCCGCGAGCGGGAGGACCGGGGAGGCGAGGGAGGAGGAAGGCGAGAAGGGCCAGAUCGCGGGAGAGCCCAAUCACGGGGCGAGCUGGACCUGGCUGUGAUCAUUUAUAAUCCUUGACUCCUCCGCUCCGCCACUUGUCAAGAUGACAGGUUGGGGAGAAAGCUGAAUGCCUUUGACACUGCCUGUACCACUUUAUCUGCCUUCCUGCCUCUUGAUAACACUGGGAGUACUUGAAGGAACCUCUGGGUGACAAGGAAUACCCUUUGAAGACCACAAGAUCAGAUGACCUACAUGCUCCCUUCCAGCUAUAUGGUAACCUAAGCUGUGGAAAAAAGAGACCAUCUGGAAAGAAUGCUGCGGUUUCACAGAGCCAACAUUAUUCUCUACCUCCCCUUCCUCUUCCUCUUUCUUUAUGGAUGGCAAACAGCGUUCAGAUGACAGAUUUUGGAAAAUUGUCUUAGGAGACGCAUUCUCAGGCAGUUCCAGUGUAUUGGUAUUUUGGAUGUUUCUCUGCAUUUUGUCAUACGGUUCAGAAGGGUGAUAGGCUUUCUGUGAACUGCUGGGCUUCAAGAAGGCUAUUAUCUUCCACUCAGGUUUAAUGGAGGAAUUUAUGGGAUUUUGCCACCUUGUGAGGUUCAGUGCUAGAAUUUCUGCGUUGGAUGGAUCAAGAAUCUACGGGGAGCCAAGUCACUUAAAAGUAUCAGUUAUUCCCAAUAUUCCCUUCAUCUAAUGAAGUUCCUCCAAAUUUCAUGAUCCUUGUGACAAUCCACCCCAGACUAUGGUGAGAGACCCAGAGCUGCAGCAGUUUUGGUUGUGGUUAUUCUGACAUUGACCCGAAGGGAGCAAGAAUGUUUCUCAGGAGCCCUUGCCUGGACUCCCCUUCCAGACCACAACUUCCCCGGUGAUAUGGGACCCUGGAGGAGGAAGUCUACAAUGUGGGAGAGAUGAGUUACCAGGAAGAUAACCUUUGCACUCAGAAGGCUUGCGAACCCCAGAGGAGACUGUCUGUCUGAGAGAUCACCUUACCCACACUGUGGAAUAAAAAUAUUGCCUCUGACAUUAGGGAACUGGCAUUCCCCUCCUCCACUGUUUGAAAAGGUCAGAACUGGUCCUUCAAGCCAAAUAAGUUACUGCUUUUGAGGUGAAGCUGGUAAGACAGAUCUGGGGCCUGCAGGCAAAGUGGGUUCAGUUUCCGUUUGUAGUCAAGGCAACUUCUUCCAAAAGAGGCUUUCAACCUGCCUGGGCUUCUAGGCCCAGUUGAGAUCCAGUGUGACUCACAGGUUAUAACUAGUGGACCUUCCAUCCUCACGGAGCCUUGGCUACACCUACCACUUGGCCUGGGUCAGAAAUAAAACAAAAACUAAAACGAACAAACAAACAAACUUAAAAACAUAAAGGUAGAGAAAGAAAGAAAACCACCUCAGUUUGAAUCUGGGGUUGUCAUGUCUAGCUGUAUGACGUUGAGCAAGUCACUCGACUUCUCUGAGCCUCAGUUUCCACAGAUUAUAGGGCUGAGUGAGAUGAGGUUGUGACGGUGUUUGCACACUACAUUGGACAAGGGGCUGAGCAUCAUCAUAUGGCCAAAAGCCUGACAAACAACACUGGUCCCCACACAAGCAACUCUGGUCCCUCCUGAACCCACACCAAGCCAAGUGUUCUCCCUGUGGCAGAGCACCCGUGCACAAGAGACCUGGGUAGCUGGAAUCAAGGUUUCACCUCUCCGCUCAGACUUUCACUUUAUAUAUACCUUACUUUUUGCUCUGUAUGAAGUAUUUUAUUUCAGCCAUAAUUUUUUUCUACUUUAGAAAGCCAAUAAGAAUUAAUCAAUCAAUAAUUGCCUUGAUGGGGGAAAAACCAAUAAAAGUAGAGCUAUAACAGGACUUGAACUUAAUAACUUUGAAAUAUAAACGGGAGGCUUUAUCCAUGGGAAUUUACAGAUACUAUUUGGCCACCAGACAGCUUCCAUAUUUCUUCAUUACUG
rnacentral:lncRNA from 10 species